rnacentral:rRNA from 1 species
GUGAUACCUGCCCUUAGGUUUGGCAUAACUCCGGGAAACUGGAGAUAAUUCCGAAUAAACCAUUCAUGCUGGAAUGCUUUUUGGUUCAAAGACUUCGGUUGCCUAAGGAUGGAUCUGCGGUCUAUCAGGUGGUAGUGGGUGUAAUGUACCUACUAGCCUACGACGGAUAUGGGUUGUGAGAGCAAGAGCCCAGAGAUGGAUUCUGAGACAUGAAUCCAGGCCCUACGGGGCGCAGCAGGCGCGAAAACUUUACAAUGCGGGAAACCGCGAUAAGGGGAUACCGAGUGCCAGCAUAUUAUGUUGGCUGUCCACAUGUGUAAACGGCAUGUGUUAGCAAGGGCCGGGCAAGACCGGUGCCAGCCGCCGCGGUAACACCGGCGGCCCGAGUGGUAAUCACUUUUAUUGGGUCUAAAGGGUCCGUAGCCGGUUUGAUCAGUUCUUCGGGAAAUCUGACAGCUCAACUGUUAGGCUUCCGGGGAAUACUGUCAGACUUGGGACCGGGAGAGGUAAGAGGUACUACAGGGGUAGGAGUGAAAUCUUGUAAUCCCUGUGGGACCACCAGUGGCGAAGGCGUCUUACCAGAACGGGUCCGACGGUGAGGGACGAAAGCUGGGGGCACGAACCGGAUUAGAUACCCGGGUAGUCCCAGCCGUAAACGAUGUUCGCUAGGUGUCAGGGACGGUGCGACCGUUUCUGGUGCCGUAGGGAAGCCGUGAAGCGAACCACCUGGGAAGUACGGCCGCAAGGCUGAAACUUAAAGGAAUUGGCGGGGGAGCACUACAACGGGUGGAGCCUGCGGUUUA